rnacentral:rRNA from 1 species
GACGAACGCUGGCGGCGUGCUUAACACAUGCAAGUCGAACGGAAAGGCCCUGCGUUUGUGGGGUUCACGAGUGGCGAACGGGUGAGUAACACGUGAGUAACCUGCCCUUGACUUUCGGAUAACUUCACGAAACUGGGGCUAAUACCGGAUAGGAGCUCCUGCUGCAUGGUGGGGGUUGGAAAGUUUCGGCGGUUGUGGAUGGACUCGCGGCUUAUCCGCUUGUUGGUGGGGUAGUGGCUUACCAAGGCUUCGACGGAUAGCCGGCAUGAGAGGGUGACCGGGCACCAGGGGACUGAGGUACGGACCAGACUCCUACGGGAGGCAGCAGUGGGGAAUAUUGCGCAAUGGGCGGAAGCCUGAUGAAGCGGCGUCGCGUUCGGGAUGACGGCCUUCGGGUUGUAAACCGCUUUCGCCUGUGACGAAGCGUGAGUGACGGUAAUGGGUCAAGAAGCACCGGCUAACUACGUG